rnacentral:rRNA from 1 species
CUUUACUGUAGCCUGGAAUUGGGUCCGGGCUUCGCUUGCGCAGGAUAGGUGGGAGGCACUGAAACACUCCUUGUGGGGAAAGUGGAGCCAUCAGUGAGAUACCACUCCCGCGAGGCUAGAAGUCUGACCCCUGCCCGUUAUCCGGGAGGGAAACAGUUUCAGGUGGGCAGUUUGACUGGGGCGGUCGCCUCCUAAAAGGUAACGGAGGCGCGCAAAGGUUCUCUCAGGCUGGUUGGAAAUCAGCCGUAGAGUGUAAAGGCAGAAGAGAGCUUGACUGCAAGAGCUACAACUCGAGCAGGGUGGAAACACGGCCUUAGUGAUCCGACGGCGCUGAGUGGAAGGGCCGUCGCUCAACGGAUAAAAGUUA